UAGCUCAGAGGUUAAAGCACCUGCCCGCAAUGCAGGAGACCUGGGUUCGAUCUCCAG
rnacentral:tRNA from 1 species